rnacentral:lncRNA from 1 species
UAGACCCCUCCCCCGGGCUCUUGGCUGUCCUUCUCCAUUGCCUAGAGGGGCAAGAAUUAUUAUUGGACCAGGCCAACCCAUGCAAAGGGGGCGAAAGGAGAAGCUGCCCUCUGGGCGCGAAGGAGAAAAGUUAGAGGCUUGAGCAGGUAAAGCCGAGAAGCGUCUGUGCUCUACAGCGCAAGGGCGCGGAGUUCGGCCGCCUCCUCUCCCUCCUGCCAUCUGCGCGCCCGGGGGCACGUCCUCUACCACAGCCUAGAAGCUCAACUGCCCGCGCUGCCCAAGUGUCGAUUUGGUGCCCAGAUUGCUAACCAUCGAAAAUGCCUGCUUUUUGCCAACCCCUCAGUCCCGGCUGCCUCUCAGAUCAGGUGCACGGAACCCCGGGAGCAGGUCCAGCAGGCCAAGCGCCGGAGCGGAGAGUCUUGCACCUUGGGGCGCGCUGCCUAAGGUGGUCAGGGAGACGCAGAGAAGCCGGAGCCAGCGCCUGGGGUACAGGGCUCUCGCGCCCACCCAGCGCCAUGCACCCGAGUGGGUCCAGCACUCGGGCACCUGGAGCCCACUGGGCACCGCACCUUGCCUCCAGCCGCGCGCAUCCCAGCCCCGCCGCCUCCACCGCCCAGCCGCCGGCAGCGCGGGUCUCACCU